rnacentral:rRNA from 1 species
AACGAACGCUGGCAGCAUGCCUAACACAUGCAAGUCGAACGGUGCCUUCGGGCUUGCUCUCGCGCGCGUGCGUGAAGCGGGGGGACCUGCCCUUAUGUUCGGAAUAACUCCCCGGGAUAAGUGCUAAUAACGGCGAAUAUCACCGGACAAAAGAUUUAUCGCCUUGGGAUGGGCGCGGGUAGGAUUAGUGAGUUGGUAGGGUAAAAGCCUACCGAGGCUGCGUGGCAUAGCUGGUCUGAGAGGAUGAUCAGCCACGCUGGGACUGAGACACGGCCCCGACCCGUACGGGAGGCAGCAGUGGGGAAUAUUGGACAAGGGGCGAAAGCGCGACAAAGCCAUGCCGCGUGAGUGAUGCAGGGCGUAGGGUUGCAAAGCUCGUUUACACGGGAUGAUAAUGACAGUACCGGGAGAAUAAGCUCCGGCUAACUCCGUG